ensembl:snRNA U6 U6 spliceosomal RNA
GUUUUUGCUUUGGUGGUACCUAUUUUAAAAUUGAAAUAAUGGAGAGAAGAUUAGCAUGGCUUCUAAGUAAGGAUGUCACAAGUUUUUGGAGCAUUUCACAUUUUU